AAAAAAAUAUUUAUAGAGUAUUUAACCCUAGUCUACGAAUUGGGAGAUUCUUGGAUAUGUAAAGGCAUUUUAGCUGGGAAAGAUCUUUGGAUUCAUAGUUCAGCAAAAGCAAAAGCAAAAACAAUUGGUGCAGGGGAAUCUUAUCUACGAAUAUCUGGGCAGAGGGCAGACUAAUGAAUCAAUUCUCCUCACGCCUCCUAUUCGAUCCAACCUUACUAAUGAAGACUGCUUCUUCUCUGUUUUAUGCUGCUAUGGAUGGAAGAGAAUGAAGCACGGAGAGAUGUGGAUGGAAGGGAAAGGAGGCUGGAGGACUGAGGGAUUGGGCGGCAGGGACAUAAAGGGGAAGGGGGAAGCGGCAGAGAGAAGGGGGGAUAGACAGAGAGUACAGAGAACAAUUGGGUAGUAGCGUUAUCAAGGGAUAAAAGAAGGAUUUUGUAAUAUUGAAGAUGUCAUUUUUGUCUAAAAAAUAGUCAAUUUUGUUCUGAUGGACUUCUAAAUAGUUAACAUAUAAUUUUGUAACUUACUGAGUAAGAGGCAAAUUUUUUUUACCAAACAAGUUUAAUCUUGGACCGAAUCAGAG
rnacentral:lncRNA from 1 species